rnacentral:rRNA from 1 species
AUGAAUCUUAAUAAUGAUGGGACUGGAGAUGAGUCAUCUUUAGUUAAAAGGGGUCCCAACGAUUCGGAAUUUUUAGAUCUUGAUGCUAAAUUUGGUAAAAGUGGGAUUGGAGAGGUCAAGACUUUAAAUAGCAUUGAACCCACUAUAUCAGAUUUCAAGGAAUUUAAUUAUGAUAAUUGUUCUUUAGAAAGUUGUAUUUCCUUGUUGCAAUCUGUUGUGAAUUCUCCUCAUGCUUAUAGUCAAAAUAAAGCUUUUACCAAACAUAUUGUUGAUGCCUUGAUGCAAUCUUUUGACGAAAAACUUAAUUUGGAAGUUUCUAUACCUAGAAAACUUAAUGAUGAGUGGGAACCUACUAUAAAGAUUAAAAUUAAAGAUCAUGAGUGUUAUGGUUUGUGUGAUUGGGUGCUAGUGUUUCCACAAUUCCGAAAACUUUAUGUGAUAUUCUAG